rnacentral:lncRNA from 1 species
CAAUUAACAUACCCCAACAAGUGGUAUCAGAGCAAGGCUAGAGCCGUUGGUCGAGUUAUUAGGUGACGGGCCAAAUUUGGGUUUUCGGAGCUUUGCUCGAAAUCUAAUUCUGACGGCAUCAUUGGAUUCGUCUCGUCUAACGGAGUCCAACGCACCAAACAGCGACCUAAUCGGAGUUCAAACGAGCCCAGAAAUCGCGGUGGUCGAGUUUUUAGGUGACGGGCCUUUUCGGAGCUUUGCUCGAAAUUCAAUUCUGACGGCACCAUUGGAUUCGUCUCGUCGAACGGAGUUCAACGCACCAAACAGCGACCUAAUUGGAGUUCAAACGAGCCCAGAAAUCGCGGGCAAAGUUUGGUCAACUUUGUCGGAGGUUCGCCGGGAACUCGCCGGAGAAGACAACUGUCGCCGGAAAUUUCGCUGGAGAAGACGACGGGUCACCUGUAGCGAACCAGUCAACUCUCUGAAAUUGCAAAUUGCUCCUCAACUUUCAAAAAUUACAGUUUUGCCCCUAUAGUGGAAUUUCAGCCACGAAGUGUCAAUNNN